AUGGCGGCGAUGGAUCAGCCGCACACGUCGUCUAGAUGCGUGGUGCAGACCGCGUCUGCGACGCACGACUUCGUGAUCGCCAACUACUCGCUCAUCCGCUACCUGCCCCCAGGCGAGGCCGUCAGCUCCGGCAUCUUUAGCGUCGGCGGCUACGAGUGGACCAUCAUGUUCUACCCGGGCGGGACCCUCUACUACACGGACACCCAGCCUGGCUAUGCACCGGCGUGCGUAAAGUCCCCGCCUGGCUGCGCAUCGGCGUGCGUAAAGAUCUGCAACGGCGCCACGGGCGUGCCGGCCAGUUUCAGCUUAGGAUUUCUUAACCGCUAUGGCGAGGCGUUGCCGGCGACGUGCGCAACAGCUGUCUUCCGUGCUUCGCCAUCCGACAGGUCGGGUUUUUUGGAUGUGGGCCGGACAUUGGAUCUGGCAUCACCGUGGUACCUCAACGACGACUGCCUGACCAUCAGGUGUGUCCUCGCCGUCAUCUUUGAACAUACGGAGAACACCAAGAUCGGCCCGGCCGCACUGGUUCCGCGGCCGGACCUGCCCAGCCAUCUCAAGUGCAUGCUCACGGACGGGAAAGGCACGGACGUCACCUUUGAUGUGGGCGGCCGCUCCUUCCCUGCCCACAGGUGCCUGCUCGCAGCGAGGUCUCCCGUGUUCAACGCGGAGCUCUUUGGCCCGAUGAGGGAGAAAGACAUGAAAAUCAUCAAGAUUAACGACAUGGAGCCGGCGAUCUUUGAGCUGCUCAUACACUUCGUCUACAUGGAUUCGCUGCCAAACGACGGCGAAGACUGCAGCACCGCGGUGACACAACAUCUGCUUGUUGCCGCGGACCGGUAUGGGCUGGCCAGGCUGAAGCAGAUGUGCGACGCAAAGCUGCGCGCAAGCCUGAACACUGAGACAGUGGCGGCGACGUUGGCGCUGGCAGAGCAGCACCACUGCCCGCUGCUUAGGGAGGCAUGCGAAGCGUUCAAGUCCUCCUCCGAAGUGAUGGCCCAUGUCGUGGCGAGCGACGGGCGACAGAUUCAAGGAUCUGGCGGGCUACAGCAUCGCUAA
rnacentral:rRNA from 1 species